GGGAAACCAAAAAAUUCUUAAUAUUCUCGGGAGCUGUCUGCUCUGAUUCUGAGGAUGCAGUAAGUGUGGCGCUGAAUUUGCAAUGCACAGAAAUGAUUGGCGGAUGAGGGCAGUAAUUUUACGUGCUCUGAUAAUGCAUGGCGCUGUAGUCGCCGCAUUUUCUCAACGUCGUGCUCUGUAGCGUUAUAGGCUGAGUUCUCCACGACCACUCUCACGUGACUCGAUCAUGAGAGCGCUUUUUUACGAUGAUGCAGCUUCUUCAAGUCGUACGCUAGCGAGACCCAAAGGUCCGGUCACGAGCGCUCGUCGGUCGCCCCUUCCGACGGCAACGAACAUCUUGAGCUUGGCACCCACCAAAAGAACGCCCCUUUGAACGCGACAGGGUCACCGGCUCCCGGAAGACAAGAUGAUACUGCCACUGAAAGAAAAAUUGAAGCCAGCAACACUUUGUGCAGGCGGAUCCAAAAGGUGCUCAUAUUAGGCGCGGCCUACACGUCCAUCAUCGCGGGACAGUGCGGCUUGAGGGGAAGCACAAGGGUCAUCAUCAAC